rnacentral:rRNA from 1 species
CAGUAGCCGCGGUAAUACAGAGGAUGCAAGCGUUAUCUGGAAUGAUUGGGCGUAAAGCGACUGUAGGUGGCUUUUCAAGUCUGCAGUCAAAUCCUAAGGCUCAACCCUGGACAGGCGGCGGAAACUACCAAGAUGGAGUACGGUAGGGGCAGAGGGAAUUUCCGGUGGAGCGGUGAAAUGCGUUGAGAUCGGAAAGAACACCAACGGUGAAAGCACUCUGCUGGGCUGACACUGACACUGAGAGACGAAAGUUAGGGGAGAAAAUGGGAUUAGAUACCCCUGUAGUCCCUGUCUCUUAUAC